UACGUAGGAGACGAGCGUUGUCCGGAGUUACUGGGCGUAAAGGGCGCGCAGGCGGCGGCGCGCGUGGGGGGUGAAAUCGCCCGGCUUAACUGGGCGGGGGCCUUCCAGACGGCAUGGCUUGAGCAGCGGAGGGGGACGUGGAAUUCCGGGUGGAGCGGUGAAAUGCGUAGAGAUCCGGAAGAACACCAGUGGCGAAGGCGGCCCGCUGGGCAGUGGCUGACGCUGAAGCGCGACAGCGUGGGGAGCAAACAGG
rnacentral:rRNA from 1 species